GGAAGAGAUUAACCAAUGAACUUAUAUGCAUAUAUGCAUAGCCCAAGGAGAGACAACAGUGCAGGGGUAAGAGUGGGGAGGGGAAGAGAGCAGA